GUAAAAACAAGACAAGACGGAUGCAUGAAUUCCAACAAUGAAAAGUUGUUUCUUUCGCCUUAUCCACAUCAGCAAUAGCAUCAACAAGGGUCAAGACUGAAAAGCAUACACUCAACUUUAAAGGACUAAGACUCUUUGAACCAGCAGGUAGGGCCACAGCUCUGAGCGCCACCGCCCCCUGCUGGGCUACCGAUUCCCUUCACGUUUCAACACCAAGACAAAGCCUUGCCAGUCCAGUUUCAGGA